rnacentral:lncRNA from 1 species
CCUGCCAGGGACUGUUUCUCCUCUGAGAUGCCCCUCUGCCAUACCGCCCUGCCUUGGAGCCAGCUGACUAGGGACUGAAAUCUCUACAAACUGUGAGCUAAAAUAAACCUUGUCUCUUUUAACUUCUAGGUUGUGCAUCAUGUCCCAGCAACAAAGAAGCCUCUAAUACAGCAGAUAUAAACUCCAGUGGAGAUAUACAGGAACACGUACAAGUCACGUUGGGACACUGGAAGAGAGGAGCCCCACGCCGAGGCGCUCCUGGGACUCCUGGCAUCUGGGGAGUGAGAAUUACCGCCACACGGCGUUUUCCUGCACAUUGUAGGGUGCUCAGCAGCAUUCCCGGCCCCCUUAGCAGGUGUCAGCAAGCAGCUCACCAAAGUCCCCAGACACUGUCAGCUGUGCCCCGUGAGGCAAAUUCACCCACGGUGGAAACCACUGCCCUAAAGUACUAGGCCCAGCCACAGCCACAUUCACAUUUGUAUACCUGUAGGACAAACAAGGCACAAAAUACUUGGGAAACUCUCAAAGGUUAAAUUUAUGUAAAGGUUCCAAAUGAAAUCUCAAAAUUGUAUUUAUUUUUUAUUUUAUGGAAAAACAGUAAAACAAAAUUCAUAACAAAAUAAUAGGAGAAUAACAAUAAUACAUUUAAUAUUGUUAACUUUAAAGUAAUUAUUCAGAGUACAAGAUAUGGGCAUAAAAAUUCCCCAAUUGGCCUGGCCUGGUGGCCCACCCCUGUGAUCCCAGCACUCGGGAGGCU